rnacentral:rRNA from 1 species
UACGUAGGGUGCAAGCGUUGUCCGGAAUUAUUGGGCGUAAAGAGCUCGUAGGUGGCCUGUCGCGUCGGCUGUGAAAACUCGGGGCUCAACUCCGAGCUUGCAGUCGAUACGGGCAGGCUAGAGUUCGGCAGGGGAGACUGGAAUUCCUGGUGUAGCGGUGAAAUGCGUAGAUAUUGGGAGGAACACCAGUGGCGAAGGCGGCUCGCUGGACCGGAACUGACGCUGAGGCGCGAAAGCGUGGGGAGCAAACAGG